UACGUAGGGCGCAAGCGUUAUCCGGAAUUAUUGGGCGUAAAGAGCGCGUAGGCGGUCCGGUAAGUCGGUUGUGAAAGUCGGGGGGCUCAACCCUCGGAUGCCGAUCGAUACUGUCGGGCUAGAGUCCGGAAGAGGCGAGUGGAAUUCCUGGUGUAGCGGUGAAAUGCGCAGAUAUCAGGAGGAACACCUGCGGUGUAGACGGCUUUCUGGACCAUUACUGACACUGAGACACGAAAGCGUGGGUAGCAAACAGG
rnacentral:rRNA from 1 species